rnacentral:rRNA from 1 species
UACGUAGGGGGCAAGCGUUGUCCGGAAUCAUUGGGCGUAAAGAGCGCGUAGGCGGCCCAGUAAGUCCGCUCUGAAAGUCAGAGGCUCAACCUCUGGAUGCGGGUGGAUACUGCUGGGCUAGAGUCCGGAAGAGGCGAGUGGAAUUCCUGGUGUAGCGGUGAAAUGCGCAGAUAUCAGGAAGAACACCAAUGGCGAAAGCAGCUCUCUGGGACGGUACUGACGCUGAGACGCGAAAGCGUGGGGAGCGAACAGG